rnacentral:rRNA from 1 species
AACGAACGCUGGCGGCGUGCUUAACACAUGCAAGUCGAACGGUGAACGAGGGAGCUUGCUCCCUCCGGAUCAGUGGCGAACGGGUGAGUAACACGUGAGCAAUCUGCCCCGAACUCUGGGAUAAGCGCUGGAAACGGCGUCUAAUACCGGAUACGACGCGCGAAGGCAUCUUCUGCGCGUGGAAAGAAUUUCGGUUCGGGAUGAGCUCGCGGCCUAUCAGCUAGUUGGUGAGGUAACGGCUCACCAAGGCGACGACGGGUAGCCGGCCUGAGAGGGUGACCGGCAGCACUGGGACUGAGACACGGCCCAGACGGCUACGGGAGGCAGCAGUGGGGAAUAUUGCACAAUGGGGGCAAGCCUGAUGCAGCAACGCCGCGUGAGGGACGACGGCCUUCGGGUUGUAAACCUCUUUUAGUAGGGAAGAAGCGAAAGUGACGGUACCUGCAGAAAAAGCACCGGCUAACUACGUGCCAGCCGCCGCGGUAAUAC